rnacentral:tRNA from 2 species
GGGAGCGUACCCGAGUGGUCAAAGGGGCCAGACUGUAAAUCUGGUGGCUACGCCUUCGCAGGUUCGAAUCCUGCCGCUCCCAC